rnacentral:lncRNA from 1 species
CUGCUGGAGCUGAGCCAUCCCCAGGGUGAUGUGGAGGAAGAACUUCCUGAUGGCCUGGAUGAGAGCUGCAGUCUGGAGGAGGAAGAGGACAGUGACUCGGAUGCUUCCUCUGUCACUGGCAUGUCAUCUAAUGGCUCUGUGGCUCUUGCGUCCAGGAAAUGCCACGAGUGCCUGGCCCAGCCCACUGAGGAUCAGGAGAAAGUGCUCAAACCCGCUCUUGUCUGCAGUUUAUUCCCUAACGUGCCUCCAACCAUCUACUUCAGUACUCGAGAUGAGAGAGGU